CUGUCUCUCCACGGCGAGUUAUUACCUUGUUACUGUUAUGAGCGCAUCAUUGUCUGUAUUCUGAAUCAUGCUUUGGAUUCGCCAUCGCCGAUUACGAAGACGAUAUACAAAUCACAUUUUCAGAACGUUUUGGGAUCGGCCUAGCAACGACAUAGCGACUGGCAGUAGCGAAAGUUUACAAUUGCUUCAUCCAAUCGAGAGCCCCUUGUCAGUCCAUAAUCAACCGCAGUGGGAGAGACUUGCGUCUGAACUUGGUUUUAGUUCAGACAGGAUUACGCAUUUUAAGAGGC